GGGCAUGGAAAAUAUGAUUUCUAUAUUGGUUUGGGAUUGGCUAUGACCUCCAGCAUUUUCAUAGUAGGGAGUUUCAUUUUGAAAAAAAAAAGGCCUUCUGCGACUUGCCAGAAAAGGACCCAUGAGAGCAGGUCAAGGUGGCCAUGCAUAUCUUAAAGAAUGGUUGUGGUGGGCUGGACUACUGUCAAUGGGGGCAGGCGAGGUGGCCAACUUCGCUGCAUAUGCCUUAGAACCAGCCACGCUAGUGACUCC
rnacentral:lncRNA from 1 species